rnacentral:rRNA from 1 species
UACGUAGGGGGCGAGCGUUGUCCGGAUUUAUUGGGCGUAAAGAGCGUGUAGGCGGUUUGGUAGGUCCGCUGUGAAAACUCGAGGCUCAACCUCGAGACGCCGGUGGAAACCAUCAGGCUAGAGUCCGGAAGAGGAGAGUGGAAUUCCUGGUGUAGCGGUGAAAUGCGCAGAUAUCAGGAAGAACACCCGUGGCUAAGGCGGCUCUCUAGUACGGUACUGACGCUGAGACGCGAAAGCGUGGGGAGCAAACAGG